rnacentral:misc_RNA from 1 species
UUAAUUUCAGAAAACAGCCAGUAAGGGAUGCUUUCUUAAGAACCUAUAAUGAAAACAUAGAGAUAUAAUUGAUGCAACUUUAUUUUACAGAAACACCUUUCAAGUAAAGUUUAAAACCGCUUUUUGCUUUUUACUAACCACUGUAAGUCACUUACGGCUAGACCUUGUCAGAUUCUGACUAGAGCCUUUCUAGCUUUGUCACCUAUAAAACUCCUCAAAGAAUGAGGAAGGUUGUAGUUGUAUCAUUUAGUUGGUGUUUGAACUGCAUGUUGAUGUAUGCAACAGUCCAACUGUCAUGAUUAGUUUUCAUGUGAGUGACGUGGCAGCCAUAGCAAGUUAAAUGUGCCUAUGUUUCCUUGAACCAGAUUAUAUGAAUAUAAAAAAAUUUGUUUCCACUCCACUCUUAGGUUCUUGUUUGCAGAAGUAGGCCACAAUGGCAGCGAAUCAGAUGGGGGUAAUUUUGGCCGGAGCCCAUUCUUCAAGAGAGUUGACCAACGCCUGCAAGGGAUUCCUGAAGACUCUCUUUUGGCAGACAUUGGCAGCACGCCCCACUUCUUUGUAGGAGACGAAGCGUUUCCUCUGAAAACCUACCUCAUGAGGCCGUAUGCAAGGAAGAGUCUACCCCCUUUGUUUGGAAACUGUGUUGACGGGCAACCUCAGCAACCAGAUGUUCAGGGAGCACCAAGUCAAUUUUCACAGCUACAAGAAAAAAGAAUUUUCAACUAUAGACUGAGCAGGGCUCGACGAGUUGUCGAAAAUGCCUUUGGGAUUCUGGCUCAAAGUUUACUGCCCACCAGGAACUACUGAUUAUGAAGAUUGGCAGAGACGUCAAACCGAUGGAACAUGGAGGCAAGAAGCGGAUGAGAAUGGCGGACUGACUCCUGUGCCUGCCACAGGUUAUCACCCAACGAGGCUUGCCUACACUACACGAGACAGGCUUUGCAAACACUUCAUCGGAAGCGGCAAGGUCCCCUGGCAAGAGGAGAUGAUCAGGAGCAGCAGAGUAUAGUAAUGGUAACUUUUUUUUACGUACAGCCACUUUAAACACAUUUUAUAUUGCAUUGCCUGCUUGCAGUAAUGACAGCACCCUCGUACACUUUGCUGUCUUCUAAAAAUUAUUCUUGAGACAUAUGUAUGUUGCAGGUACGGAUGCAGACAAUAGCAAAUGGAGCACGCUUCUGCCUUCUAAUAUUUUUCACGUGUUCAGUAAUUGAAAGUGGCAU